AUAAACUUAAAAAAAAACUACGCUAUAUCUCGAAAAUACAUCUGUAAAUGAAGAUAUUCGAAAAUAUAUGGCAGUAAAGCAGGUAUGCGCAUGUGUGCAAAUAAAAAUAGAAAAGUAACAUUAAAACUGUGAUAGAUGGGAAGUUGAUUGAUGGAGUUAUGGUAAUAUUAUGCGGGAGUAAUACAUUCACUCAUCUUGCUGGUUAAAUAAAUAUUACAUCACGGGACUUCUGCUCCUUUCACAAACUUCUUCAAAACAUACUCUUGGCUGCUAUUAGGUUGGGUGAAACUUUUUAGGAAACCAAUAAACAUAAUGCCCUAUUUUUUUGUUUUUUUGUUAAAGGCACACGAGAAGGCGUGGAAAAACGGCAAACGUCAAAGAGGGUGCACAUUCCAAAGCUCUUGUGGACGAUGACACAACUGAAGGUGAAGAAGACAAAAAGAAAGAAAGAAAGGGCACGAAACGGACACGAACUCCGUCGAGUUCGUCAUGUGAAAGCGACUCGCUUUGCUCUAGGAGCGAGUUGCUUCAACCAAUAAAAGAAAAAAAAUUUGGAAGCAAAGAGCCCUCGAUCUCCAGAACCAAAAUCGAAAACUACUUGAGGAAACAUUUUCAUUGCAACGCUGCCUCCAGUCCCAGAUAUUUAACUUGGAAACGAGGUUUAAAUUCCUCCCAUUUGGCGUGCCUGCAAGCCCUGCAGGCUCUGAAAGAGCCCAGAUGCCACUUGAAGGGUAUGACGAAAGACAUGAUCUGCCAGAAAAUCCACCAGCGCCGCGGUUUAUUUCGCAUGCUGAACCCACUGCAUCACAGCCUGCCCAGACUGAAGCAGAGAAGCCAAACUUUUCAUAUACGGAAGACGGCUUUGUAAGUGAUAUUUUGUUACUUAACCACUGCUUAGCAAUUUGUCAUAGAAUAAUAGCAGAAGUCUUUUGCUCAUGUACAGCACAAACACUGCAUUAGUUUUGUGCAACAUAGUUCCAUUGAAGCGUUUUACAAACGAGUCAACUAAUUACAGCUCGCUCACUCCUUUCAUGUUUUUCUGUGCUCGUUGUUAGUGUGAUGAUUUCCUUAUGGUGUUAUGUAAGCAAACAAGUGAAAUUGUCACAGUCAGCUUGGUUGUGCCAUAAUAUGUGUUUGUGGCAGAAGAAAGCUGUGACGUACUUGUGUAAGUGCUGUAAGCCAACUUCAACAAGGUCAAGCAACAUGUGAAAACUGAAUGGGAAUGUUUGGGAGGUAGCACUGUUUGGAGGUAGGAAUGGCAGGAAUUGUUUUUGUCUUUAAUAAACAUGGUAAAAGAAAAAAAAUGCACUAGCCUGCUCGUAGCAGCAGAACCUGUAGCCUCUAUGUGACACUCUGUUAAGGUAAUUUGGAGACUGCCCCUUUUCUAUUUUCAUGGGUUGUGUGUGUACAUGUUACCUAAACUAGUCUGAAGGUCAUUGAUCAUUGCAGUUUUGUUUUUGCAGUCUCACUUGAAGGAUGGCUUUUCUAUUUCUGGUGCACAAGCGGCUAGAAUCUUUGCCAAUAAGAAAGGGAUGCUUGUGUGCAAGGACACAGUACAGGCGCUGUGGAGCAACACGGUCCUUGCCACAAGGAGCGUCAGCGGGAAUGUAGCCCCCAGGAAGAGGGUAUUGGGCGAGCUGCCGAAACAGCAGUUAACCCCAAAGAAGGUGGAUGUCGUAGUGGCUACAAUCCAGCACUGGGACCAGCAGAAGAACGUGUAUGUGUCCGAAACAUUGAAGAAUUUGUCACGGUUCCUCACCAAAGAUACAGGACGUUUCGAAGGCACUUCGAAAGGUGGAAUCCAAAUAACUAAAAAAGCUGAA